ensembl:lncRNA
AUAUAUAUAUAUAUAUAUAUAAUGUAUGUAUAUAUAUAAAAAAAAAAUAUUUUUAACUUGAAAUUAGUAUAAAAAAAUAAUUUAAAACAUACUAUUUUUUUUUUUAAUUCCAAAAAGUAAAUUUUUUAAUGAAAACAGCAGAUAUAAAACCUAUCUAAAAUAUUAAUAAACUACAACAUUACUUCGGUGAUACUAACUUAGCACUGCUUUUGAUCAAUUUAAUGCAUCCUUGGUGAAUUUCAAAUAACCCUUACCCAUUAAAACACUUCAAGAAACUUGCUAAUUUAUUAUUGUCAUGAAGAUACUAUACUAAUACAGAACAAAAUAUGAAGAGAGUGUGUCACAACAUAGCAGAUCAGGCAACUGGGUCACAUAUAGCAGACGUGAUCUAUUACAGCUAUUUUUGGCUGAUGCCAAAUUAUCAACCUUGUUGUGCGCGCACACACACUCAUACAUAGUCAAAGACACAAGGGUGUUUCAUAUUCCCACAGUAGAAUCCAUCAUCAAGAUCCUGUUUCUCUGUGCUGAUUGGCUGAGGUGGUUGUGAGGUCUCACCGUGGCUAUUUAGUGUGAUAAUGGCGUUUGACAACACAGGAUACAAACACCAUUGUCACACUCCACAGCUCAGGAGGACGGCAGACUGACCGUCUAGAGUGACAGGAGAGCUUUCAAGUCAUUUUUUCACUUACGAUAGCUCAACUUUUAUUGAAUCCCUUAGAAUGAACCUAUGAACAGUACUUGAUGAACAAGGCCUGUACGUGUCAGCUGUUUUCACCCUUGUGUUUGGUUCAGCAGCUGGCUCUCGCUCUGGUCAUGUGUAAAUGUUAUCGAUUCUCUGUUAGUGGACUGGAUAGUGACGGGAACCGUGCAGAUGGUCUCCUCUAAAUGAUUACUUAUGCCUUAGAGCCGUAAUCUUCAACAGACGGUUCUCCCGUUAUUAAGCUUUAAACAUAUUUUAGUAAAAAUAACAAAAAGCAAUCAAAACCACAGCUAUAUUAGUUCAGAUAAAUGUUUUCGAUUGGAUUUUGAUAUCAUGUGCAAAUAUAUGACUGCAAUGCCAUUAAAUUAUUACUGAUGUACAAUAUAAGCAUCAUGAAGUAUGCAAAUACAUUAAUGUGGUACUGUACCUUAAUAUAAGUUAUGCUUAACAAUUAUAUAUGCUGUUUGCGUUUUUUUUAAAAACAGUAAUAUUGUGAACUAUUACAUUUAAAAAAAACUAUUUUCUAUUUGAAUAUAUUUUGAAAUAUGGAAU